GCUCAGAUUGAACGCUGGCGGUAUGCUUAAGACAUGCAAGUCGUGCGGUAGAAGGCUACGGCCUUUGAGAGCGGCGGACGGGUGAGUUACACGUGGGAAUCUGCCUAUUAGUGGGGGACAGCCCAGCGAAAGCUGGAUUAAUACCGCAUACGCCCUACGGGGGAAAGCAGCAAUGCGCUAAUAGAUGAGCCCGCGUAAGAUUAGCUAGUUGGUAAGGUAAAGGCUUACCAAGGCGACUGAUCUUUAGCUGGUCUGAGAGGAUGGCCAGCCACAUCGGGACUGAGACACGGCCAGGACUCCUACGGGAGGCAGCUGUCGGGAAUAUUGGACAAUGGGCGCAAGCCUGAUCCAGCAAUACCGCGUGUGUGAAGAAGGCCUGCGGGUAGUGA
rnacentral:rRNA from 1 species